rnacentral:piRNA from 1 species
UAAGCCGUGCCUUUAAGUGAACCCCAAGC